AUAUAAAAAUGUUUAAAUACUGUUCUCUACCAGCUUAAUUUUUUAGAGAAUAAUGACUAUUUCACUUAAGUUAAUAUGAGAUUAGAACAGGGAGUCCUUAGCAUUUUUAAUUUUCUUUCAUUUAAUUCAAGCCCACGCAUAUCAUGAGUCUAGCAAAAACUCUUGAGUCCGAACUUAAGCUUAAGUUUUUAGAGAAUAACGAUUGUUUUCGCUGAUUAUUCCAUCCUA
rnacentral:lncRNA from 1 species